UUUAAAGAGCCGCGGUAUUUUGACUGUGCAAAGGUAGCAUAAUCAUUAGUAUAUUAAUUGUAUACUGGAAUGAAAGGUUUGACGAGAAAAAUACUGUCUCUAUUUAAUUUAUAUAAUUUUACUUUCUAGUGAAAAGGCUGGAAUUUUUUUUUAGGACGAUAAGACCCUAUAGAGUUUUAUUUUUUUAUUUGCUAUAUAAUUUGUUUUAUUUUUUUUUAUUUAGUAUAUAUUUAAUUUUGUUGGGGUGAUGUGAAUAAUAGUUAAACUAUUCAUUAAUUUUUUUUCAUUGAUUUAUGUUGUUUUUGAUCCUUUAUUAUUGAUUUUAAGAUUAAAUUACCUUAGGGAUAACAGCGCAAUUAUUUUUGAGAGUUCUUAUUGAUAAAAUAGAUUGUGACCUCGAUGUUGGAUUAAGGUUAUUAUUUGGGUGAAGAUGCUUAAAUUAUUGGUCUGUUCGACCAUUAAAAUCUU
rnacentral:rRNA from 1 species